GUAUGGAAUGGCUUUGAGGUUCAAGAGACCCAUGCGGCAGAAUUUUGGAGAUGAAUAAUAAUUACUGAAGAAUGGCUUACAGAUCCUGCAGACUUGUGUUAAGGCAAAAAGUCCAACAUGCCAUACAAAUGGAGAUAUACAGGAAUUGGAUAUAAUAAGCCCCAAAUGGCUCAAAAAGAAAAAGGCUUACAGAAUUUUUACUGGACUGUAGGAACAGUGUCCUGUUAUGUUGCCAAGACUGGACUCAAAACUACUGGGCUCAAGUGAUCCUUCUGCCUCAGCCUCCUGAGUCACUGGGACUACAAGCACAAACCACCAAGUCCAGGAAGAGGGAUUGCUUUCAGAUCCUUCCCCAGAGCCUAGUCUGAAGCUUCUGUUAUCUAAGAAGUCAGCACCAAAAGAGCCAUCUUUCCAAGGAAACACAAACCAACCUGUUGCUUUGUUAAUGUUAUUUAUUGUUGUCUUCCCUUCUUUAGAUAUUCACUCCUUUAGGAAUGAAAUCUUACCUCUAUGAUUCACCCUUAUAACUCAGCUAGGGCAUGCCUUGAAUACAAGAGGUCAAUAAAUAUUGUUGAAUGAAUGAAUGUAUAUAUGACUUAACACUAGAAUGUACAGUAAAUGAUGAAUACAGCACUGUUCAAGUUGAAUAUACAUUGAAUUCAAUUUUAUAUAAAGUUGUACACUAAAUGCUGAGAAAAACACAACUAUGAAGAUUAACCACAGCUCUUACUCUUUAGGCAUAGAUGGUCU
rnacentral:lncRNA from 10 species